rnacentral:rRNA from 1 species
CGCGGUGCAUUAGCUAGUUGGUGAGGUAACGGCUCACCAAGGCCACGAUGCAUAGCCGACCUGAGAGGGUGAUCGGCCACAUUGGGACUGAGACACGGCCCAAACUCCUACGGGAGGCAGCAGUAGGGAAUCUUCGGCAAUGGACGAAAGUCUGACCGAGCAACGCCGCGUGAGUGAAGAAGGUUUUCGGAUCGUAAAACUCUGUUGUUAGAGAAGAACAAGGAUGAGAGUAACUGUUCAUCCCUUGACGGUAUCUAACCAGAAAGCCACGGCUAACUACGUGCCAGCAGCCGCGGUAAUACGUAGGUGGCAAGCGUUGUCCGGAUUUAUUGGGCGUAAAGCGAGCGCAGGCGGUUUCUUAAGUCUGAUGUGAAAGCCCCCGGCUCAACCGGGGAGGGUCAUUGGAAACUGGGAGACUUGAGUGCAGAAGAGGAGAGUGGAAUUCCAUGUGUAGCGGUGAAAUGCGUAGAUAUAUGGAGGAACACCAGUGGCGAAGGCGGCUCUCUGGUCUGUAACUGACGCUGAGGCUCGAAAGC